UCCCGAGUCGCUCAGAUGGUAGAGCAUGGCGCUUGCAAUGCCAAGGUUGUGAGUUUGAUUCCCACGGGAG
rnacentral:tRNA from 1 species